UCAGGACAUAAUAUAGUAAUACUACACAAUAAGAACAAUGUCAUAUUUGGCACAGAUCACGCAACUAGCCAUCUGAAUCGACAUUUUUGAGGCACGACCAUUUGUUUGUACUGCUGUGCAUAAUGGUGAAUUUAAGUGCAUGACAAGCCAGCAUCUUUGAUGGAAUUGAAAGUGUCGAUCCACUUGUCGUCAAUAUAGUUAAUGACAUUCCACGAGAUAAUAACGAGUCUUUUACUAUUCUUGAACUUGCUAUGUUAAUCAAUCUAAAACACACUAAAAGUGUUAACUGUCUUUCAUUCUAUUACACAAUUAUGUGAUUUAGUUAGUUAUUUAUUUAUUUACUCUGUGUGUGUCAACUAAUAUGUUCAUUGCAACUAAGAUUUACAAAGUAUAAUGAUAUAAUUGCUUUUCUUUUGCAGCCAUGAUGACGAAGGUGUAUUUGUGACAAAGUAUGUGGAGUUCAUUAUCAAUGAAAUGAUACAUGAUAUGUUAGAAAACGUGGUUCCAAAGAUCACAAGGGCAUACCUGGCUUGUCAACUAUAUAAAUAUGAAAUCCAAAAGAGCAACGGAUAUUAUGAAUCAGAUGUUGAUCUCGUCCCAGGAGUAUCGGGAAAGCGAUGAAGGCUAGGAAUGUCGAUAAUAUCUAGAAGUCAAUCAAGGGGAAAAAAUUAGUCUAUUUUGUUGAUACCCAUCAAACAUUUGUUGACGUCUUUUUACUUUUUUAGCCAUGUUAGCAAAUUUGUGCCUGAU
rnacentral:lncRNA from 1 species